AUAGAAGCCAAGGAGCAACAGCUGCAGAACCAGACCUUUUAGUUGUGUUGGGGGGACCUGUUAGUGUGAGUGAACUGGCCAGGUGGUCCUGCCCUGCCUUGGGACCACUCCAACAAAAGGAUGGCGAGCAAAAACUUGAGCCAGGAGCCUGACUGUUCUUUUUCUUUGUCUUCAACACAAGUCAGGGUCUGGUAGGAGGCUCUGCACCCUGUUUUUCUCUCCCCACUACUCCGGUCAAGCACUUCCAAUACCCGUUCAACUUGAGACUAAUCAAGCAGCGCUAAUGGACGCUCACCUUGUACCACCAUAAAACUGAAGCCAUUCAUUUGUACUCUUGACUGUUUGUAACUUACGAACGUUGGGGUGGGAAAAGUGAACUGGGUUUUUGUCUCCCUGUUGAUCAACUGUAACUUGUGUACACAUUAGUAUUUUGUAAAUAUUUGUUUAUUUU